ACCUCCCUCAUGCGGUGAGGAUCCUCUUGCGGUGAGGGUCAGAAAGAGAUGGGCUUACUUCCAAGUGCGGGUCAAAGUCAAAAGUGUGAAGGGGACCUGAGACUCCUCCCUCAAGACUGCGGUUUAGGCUGUAGAAUUCUACAGAGAGGGGCUAUAAGCUAUAAGCCCUCCAAAUCCCACCACUGGCUUUCCACAAGCAGAACCUUCAGCAGUGCACAGAGGACCAGGAGCUGGCUAGAGCCCCUGCUUAGGAAAACUGCUGGUGGAGUGGUGAAGAGGAUGUUCAGCUCAGAAAACUGCCACUGUUGGAACCUCUCAAUCAUAUUCCAUUAUUUGUAGGACCUAUCGACAUAUGCUACAACUUACUGUGGAAAUAUCUUCAAAGAUGAAGUCACGUAGACGGGGUGGCUGAGGCUGUAUCAGAGGAUGAAAAAGAGAGGUGUCAAGUCUUAUCUGCUUAUGGCUAUAAUUGGUAAUGUCCAUUCUCUGUCAGCUGUCAUACUGUGGGUUAAUGGCCUGAAGCUUCACACUCAGUUUCAUGGCUCUAGCUGUGAGAACAGCUUUGAAAUACAGGGACUUCAAAAGGCAUUCUCAUCUUCCUUCAGAUUAGAUUUGAUACUGCUGUAUUGCAAACAAACAUUUUCAAAUAUGCAUCGUUAGUAUUCUCUUUUAACAGCAAAUGUCUUGGGUGUAGAUAAGGUGGUGUGUCUGCAGAACACAAGAUCACCAUCUUCUUUUUUUAAUGAAAAUCUGAACAUUAGGAAGUGGAAUUUUAACACAGUAAUAAACUGAUCACAAUAAGUGUUAUACUGCAGUUUAUGGGGGAAAGUCAACACUUCAGGCUUGUUAUGCACUUUUUAUGUCUAAGAGAUGGGCAGAAAGAAAAUCAUCACAUAAUAUGAAGAUUAUCUAUAAUUGCAGACUACAAGAUGAUAAGCAGUUUUUGUGCACUUGGAGUGCAGCAGCCUCAACUUGGCUAUGUGACCUUCAGGCACAUGCACAGAUAGACCCCGGGGAGGCUUGAACCCCUGCCCCUUUACUCCCAGAUCUUAUAUGUGCCCCUGUGGUUUAUGUGUUUAUUUUGCCUCCAUUCUUUAAGAUUCUAGUGAGAUGAGGCCUAGUCUUUCUCCAGGAAAAGAGCUCGUGUGUCGGCUUGAGUUCUCUUCGGCGCCUCUGCUGUUGCCUGAGGUUCUCCUUAGUAACUCUGACCUGUCACACAUCACCAUAGCAAUUGAAAUCCCACCAAUAAAUUGCUGAUAAUCAGACAGUGUCACACUCCAUAAUGUGUUUCUUUUAAACAGUCGACAAACUCUUUGCCUUUAUUACAGCUUUCAAUCUUUUCAGGAGAUUUGCUUUCAGUUUUACAAGAAAUCUGCAGGGAUAUUUUUCCACACUUUCAAAGUUCAGCCUGCUUCUCAUGAUACAAGUAAUCUUGAUUUUCUCCUCUCUUUCAAAGAUGAAAGCUUUCAGUCCCGUUUAUCUGAUGGGGACAGUUUAGGUGGUCUACCAGGUCUUGCACAGA